rnacentral:rRNA from 1 species
AUCGCCUCCUGCAACAUAACCAAGUAUAAGAGGUCCAGCCUGCCCAGUGACCGCAAGUUUAACGGCCGCGGUAUUUUGACCGUGCAAAGGUAGCGCAAUCACUUGUCUUUUAAAUAAAGACCUGUAUGAAUGGCUAAACGAGGGCUUAACUGUCUCCCAUUUCAAGUCAGUGAAAUUGAUCUGCCCGUGCAGAAGCGGGUAUAACUAUACAAGACGAGAAGACCCUUUGGAGCUUAAGGCGUAAAACUCAACCACGUCAAGCGACUCAAUAAAAAGCAAUUUUUUAAACCUUGUGGUAAAUGAGACCACUGCCUUCGGUUGGGGCGACCAUGGAGGAAAAAUAAGCCUCCAAGUGGAAUGGGGAAACCCCCUAAAACCAAGAGAGACAUCUCUAAGCUACAGAACAUCUGACCAUAAAUGAUCCGGCUAACCAAGACCGAUCAACGAACCAAGUUACCCUAGGGAUAACAGCGCAAUCCUCUCCCAGAGUCCAUAUCGACGAGGGGGUUUACGACCUCGAUGUUGGAUCAGGACAUCCUAAUGGUGCAGCCGCUA